AAAGGGAGACCUAAUUCGGGUAUAAGACGAAAAAAUAGUAGUCGAAACCAAGAAUCAAUCCCAAAAGGUCGGAACGAGGUAUGUGGCUUUCAAACUAGGUUCUGGGUUCACACAAGACCUGAAUCAGGAACAAGGGCUAUUAGCUCAGGUGGUUAGAGCGCACCCCUGAUAAGGGUGAGGUCCCUGGUUCGAGUCCAGGAUGGCCCACCUGCACAGGUGGCAAAAACAAAGAAGCGAGGAAUCAGCACCUUAUCUUACUUAUAUAGUAAGAGAGAAUGCUGGCUCUGAGUAAAGAGUCCAGAGGAACCUUGAAAACUGCAUAGAGCUAGGUGAAAAAGCCAAAAAAGAAGACCGCAAG
rnacentral:tRNA from 1 species